rnacentral:rRNA from 1 species
GACGAACGCUGGCGGCGUGCUUAACACAUGCAAGUCGAACGGAAAGGCCCUGCUUUUGUGGGGUGCUCGAGUGGCGAACGGGUGAGUAACACGUGAGUAACCUGCCCUUGACUUUGGGAUAACUUCAGGAAACUGGGGCUAAUACCGGAUAGGAGCUCCUGCUGCAUGGUGGGGGUUGGAAAGUUUCGGCGGUUGGGGAUGGACUCGCGGCUUAUCAGCUUGUUGGUGGGGUAGUGGCUUACCAAGGCUUUGACGGGUAGCCGGCCUGGGAGGGUGACCGGCCACAUUGGGACUGAGAUACGGCGCAGAGUCCUACGGGAGGCAGCAGUGGGGAAUAUUGCACAAUGGGCGGAAGCCUGAUGCAGCAACGCCGCGUGCGGGAUGACGGCCUUCGGGUUGUAAACCGCUUUCGCCUGUGACGAAGCGUGAGUGACGGUAAUGGGUAAAGAAGCACCGGCUAACUACGUG